rnacentral:rRNA from 1 species
AUUAGCUAGUAGGUAUGGUAAUGGCUUACCUAGGCGACGAUCCCUAGCUGGUUUGAGAGGAUGACCAGCCACACUGGAAUUGAGAUACGGUCCAGACUCCUACGGGAGGCAGCAGUGGGGAAUAUUGCACAAUGAGGGAAACCUUGAUGCAGCUAUGCCGCGUGUGUGAAGAAGGCCUUUGGGUUGUAAAGCACUUUUAAUAAGGAGGAAAACAAUAAUAAUAAUACUAUUAUUGUGUGACAUUACUUAUAGAAAAAGCACCGGCUAACUCCGUGCCAGCAGCCGCGGUAAUACGGAGGGUGCUAGCGUUAAUCGGAAUUACUGGGCGUAAAGAGUACGUAGGCGGUUUUCUAAGUCAGAUGUGAAAGCCCUAGGCUUAACCUAGGAAUUGCAUUUGAAACUGGUAAGCUAGAGUCUCACAGGGGGGUAGAAUUCCAGGUGUAGCGGUGAAAUGCGUAGAUAUCUGGAGGAAUACCAGUGGCGAAGGCGGCCCCCUGGGUGAAGACUGACGCUGAGGUACGAAAGCGUGGGGAGCGAACAGGAUUAGAUACCCUGGUAGUCCAGGCUGUAAACGAUGUCGAUUUGAAGGUUGUGGUCUAUGAAUUAUGGCUUUCGGAGCUAACGUGUUAAAUCGACCGCCUGGGGAGUACGGCCGCAAGGUUAAAACUCAAAUGAAUUGACGGGGGCCCGCACAAGCGGUGGAGCAUGUGGUUUAAUUCGAUGCAACGCGAAGAACCUUACCUACCCUUGACAUCCAAAGAACUGUAUAGAGAUAUACA